GACGAACGCUGGCGGCGUGCUUAACACAUGCAAGUCGAACGGAAAGGCCCUGCUUUUGUGGGGUGCUCGAGUGGCGAACGGGUGAGUAACACGUGAGUAACCUGCCCUUGACUUUGGGAUAACUUCAGGAAACUGGGGCUAAUACCGGAUAGGAGCUCCUGCUGCAUGGUGGGGGUUGGAAAGUUUCGGCGGUUGGGGAUGGACUCGCGGCUUAUCAGCUUGUUGGUGGGGUAGUGGCUUACCAAGGCUUUGACGGGUAGCCGGCCUGAGAGGGUGACCGGCCACAUUGGGACUGAGAUACGGCCCAGACUCCUACGGGAGGCAGCGGUGGGGAAUAUUGCACAAUGGGCGGAAGCCUGAUGCAGCAACGCCGCGUGCGGGAUGACGGCCUUCGGGUUGUAAACCGCUUUCGCCUGUGACGAAGCGUGAGUGGCGGUAAUGGGUAAAGAAGCACCGGCUAACUACGUG
rnacentral:rRNA from 1 species